rnacentral:rRNA from 1 species
CUCAGGAUGAACGCUGGCGGCGUGCCUAACACAUGCAAGUCGAACGGGGUUAAGUGAAAUUUCGGAUGGAUCUAACUAGUGGCGGACGGGUGAGUAACGCGUGGAUAACCUGCCUCACGACAGGGGGAUAGCAGCUGGAAACGGCUGGUAAUACCGCAUAAGACCACGGCUCCGCAUGGAGCUGUAGUAAAAGAUUUAUCGGUGUGAGAUGGGUCCGCGUCUGAUUAGCCAGUUGGCGGGUAACGGCCCACCAAAGCGACGAUCAGUAGCCGGCCUGAGAGGGUGAACGGCCACAUUGGGACUGAGACACGGCCCAAACUCCUACGGGAGGCAGCAGUGGGGAAUAUUGCACAAUGGGCGCAAGCCUGAUGCAGCAACGCCCGCGUGAGUGAAGAAGUAUUUCGGUAUGUAAAGCUCUAUCAGCAGGGAAGAAAGGCUCUUCGGAGAGAUGACGGUACCUGACUAAGAAGCCCCGGCUAACUACGUGCCAGCCGCCGC